ACUAACAAGGAUUUCCCUAGUAACGGCGAGUGAAGCGGAAAAAGCGCAGGCCGAAAACCUUCGGGGAUGUGGUCUUAAGAACAUGCAUCCAUCGGAAGUACACGAAUCAAGUGGUCUGGAAAGGCCCGCCAUGGAGGGUGAUAGCCCCGUUCGUAUUUGUGUAUGGAAGGUAUGGAGUGUGCUCGAGGAGUCGAGUUGCUUGGGAUUGCAGCUCAAAUGGGUGGUAAAUUCCAUCUAACGCUAAAUAUGGGUGGGAAACCAAUAGCGAACAAGUACCGUGAGGGAAAGAUGAAAAGCACUUUGAAAAGAGAGUGAAAUAGUACCUGAAAUUGCUGAAAAGGAACCGUUGGGAAGCAGUGUUGGGCUAGGCAGUUCUGUCUGGUCUCUAGUUAGGCUUGCUUCUGCGUGUGAGAGACUCUUCACUGUGCUUGCACUGUGUUUUGAUGUCAUGCGUGGGAACGACUCUGACGAAAUGCUUCUCAACAUCCCGUCUUGAAACACGGACCAAGGAGUCUAACAUGUGUGCAAGUGCUCGGGAAUUGAUUCCCCAGCGCGAAAUUAACGUAAAGGCAAGCCUAGCUUGCUGAGGUAGGAAGCCGCAAGGCUGCACUAUCGACCGACCAUGAUCCUACGAGAGAAAGGUUUGAGUGUGAGCAUACAUGUUGGGACCCGAAAGAUGGUGAACUAUGCCCGAGUAGAACGAAGCCAGGGGAAACUCUGGUGGAGGUUCGUAGCGGUUCUAACGUGCAAAUUGAUCGUCGAACUUGGGUAUAGGGGCGAAAGACUAAUCGAACCAUCUAGUAGCUGGUUCCUCCCGAAAUUUCCCUUAGGAUAGCUGCAACCGAACAGUUUUAUCAGGUAAAGCGAAUGAUUAGAGGCAUCAGGGGUGGAACGUCCUUGACCUAUUCUCAAACUUUAAAUGGGUAAGAGCCCUGAGUUGCUUAAGUGAACUCGGCGGUAGAAUGACGGUUGCUAGUGGGCCAAUCUGGGUAAGCUAGAUUGGCGAUGCGGGAUGCUCCGAACGCAAAGUUAAAGUGCCAAAGUAUCCGCUAACCUAGAUCCCACAAAAGGUGUUGGUUCAUUAAGACAGCAGGACGGUGGCCAUGGAAGUCGGAAACC
rnacentral:rRNA from 1 species